rnacentral:rRNA from 1 species
AGAGUUUGAUCCUGGCUCAGCCUGAACGCUGGCGGCGUGGCUAAGACAUGCAAGUCGCACGGUGUAGCAAUACACAGUGGCGAACGGGUGAGUAAUGAAUCGCUAAUGUACCCCGGACUCUGGGAUAGCCGGCCGAAAGGCCGGGUAAUACCAGAUGAUAUGACCGAGCCGCAUGGUUUGGUCCUCAAAGGUCCGCCGGUCUGGGAGCAGGCGAUUUCGUAUCAGCUAGUUGGUGAGGUAACGGCUCACCAAGGCGACGACGCGUAGCCGGACUGAGAGGUUGGCCGGCCACAUUGGGACUGAGACACUGCCCAGACUCCUACGGGGGGCUGCAGUAACGAAUCUUCCGCAAUGCACGAAAGUGUGACGGAGCGACGCCGCGUGUAGGACGAAGCCCUUCGGGGUGUAAACUACUGUCAGGGGUUACCAAGUUCUGAGGAGCCCCAGAGGAAGGCACGGCUAACUCUGUGCCAGCAGCCGCGGUAAGACAGAGGUGCCAAGCGUUAGGCGGAAUCACUGGGCUUAAAGCGUGUGUAGGCGGGUUCCUAAGUACCUUGUGAAAUCCCCCGGCUC